CUUAUCUCCAUUUCAACGGGACGAUUCUGGACCGCAGUGAUCACAGCCCCCCUUUCCCUCACUGAGACUUACCAGAAGGGACUCUGCACAGGGAAAGGCUCAUUGGUGGGGCUGCCUGGGAGAACUCCCAAGACACACAGGUGGAGCCUUUCCCGAAGGAGGAGCCCAGGGACGCAAGCGAGAGCCUCUGCAAGUCACCCCAGCUGCCGCGUUUCCACCCAGGAGGAAGACGCACGUGGGGCGGCACGAGAGAUAGACGGAGGACCCACAAGAAGAAGGAUGCUAAUGAUGUUCCAAGUGUUGACGGUUCUCUGGCCCCAGGAGACAGCCUGGAAGACAUCCCUAGAUGCUGAGAAUCCUCGUCAAGAACGACUCUUCACUGCCAAAGUCAACCACUUCACUCUCAGCAACGGCUGUCAUUUCCAUGUUUAAGAUGCACACUUUGCCUAUAGAAGCAUUCACAACAUAGUCUCUCCUCCAUUGUAG
ensembl:lincRNA